AUCCAGCUGAUGAAUUGCAAAUAGGAUGAAACGCACUUCCUUGAU
rnacentral:hammerhead_ribozyme from 1 species